GUCAUGGGCUCGGUAUCAUAGGCCUUUUCGAUUAAAAGAAAUGAAUAAAUGGGUUUCAACCCGUGAACCGGGUCUUCCAAGUGAGCCCGUAUGAUACGGGGUCAUGCCACGCGGCGCAGAGGGAGUGGCUACGCGAUCUCGCGUGUUGAGUGAGAAAAAAAGGGUUUCGCGUGAAAGAUCCCAUUUUCCCUUCUCUCUUCGAAAUCUAGGGUUUCUCCGUCUCUGAGGCGAUUUCGUGUCGGAGUCCAGAGCCGGAGAUUUUCUCGAUCAAUUCGUCGUCGGAGUCACUCGUAAACGCUCUCAGGUCACCAGUUCAAGGAGGAGGAUGCGUGGAUGGUUGCAGGUCUCUGUUUCUUUAUGUAUCAAAUCAAGUCACGGGUGGUAAUGUAGUAGUAGGUGGUUGUAGUGGUAGGUUAUGUAAGAUGGAAUCACGGGAGAGUGUAGUGUUUUCCAACUUUCUACACUCGUUUUAUGUAUGUAUCAAAUCAAGGGUAUGUCCCCACGGCUUUGCUUUUGUACUCACAGGUGUAUGUACCCACAUGCUACUUGCUUCAAUGUUUUUCUAUAUAAAUGACUAUGUGUUUCAUUCUA